rnacentral:rRNA from 1 species
AUUGAACGCUGGCGGCAUGCCUUACACAUGCAAGUCGAACGGUAACAGGUCUUCGGAUGCUGACGAGUGGCGAACGGGUGAGUAAUACAUCGGAACGUGCCUAGUAGUGGGGGAUAACUACUCGAAAGAGUGGCUAAUACCGCAUGAGAUCUACGGAUGAAAGCAGGGGAUCGCAAGACCUUGUGCUACUAGAGCGGCCGAUGGCAGGUUAGGUAGUUGGUGGGAUAAAAGCUUACCAAGCCGACGAUCUGUAGCUGGUCUGAGAGGACGCACAGCCAAACUGGGAAGGAGACACGGCCGAGACUCCUACGGGAGGCAGCAGUGGGGAAUUUUGGACAAUGGGCGCAAGCCUGAUUCAGCAAUGCCGCGUGCGGGAUGAAGGCCUUCGGGUUGUAAACUGCUUUUGUACGGAACGAAAAGCCCUGGGUUAAUACCCUGGGGUCAUGACGGUACCGUAAGAAUAAGCACCGGCUAACUACGUGCCAGCCGCCGCGGUAAUAC